GUCGGCAGCCAAUACGAUAUAUUAUUUGUAAGUAAAAUAUUGUGUCUAUUUCUGCUAAGUAUGGAUUAAUCGCCUAUUUAAAUGGCAGACAAAUGACAGUGUAAUAACAGCAAUUUACUGUCAAUAAUUGGAGGUGUGAAUAACCGUUGAUAUGGAUGAAAAGGAUUAGGGUGCAUUUAUACUUGAAGGACAGUUUUCACAUGACUGCCUCCAUAAUGGCUAAUGUGACUCACUGAUGCAUCUGUUUUAUCAAACAUCUACAAAAUUCUCAUUAAUAUGGAUGUUUGUGCAAGUCUUAAUUUCUCCAUAGCGACAUCGUGUGUUGUGCAUUACUUAAGACGUAAUCUUAUUGAUAUUAGCGGCCGACAUUUGCAACAGGUUUUCAAACACUAAACUAACAACAUUUCAAUGGAGCAUAACUAUUCAUCAAUUCAGUAAUAACGGUCGAACAUGGAUGUUUAGUGCCGUUUGGCACAGACGUAACUUUUUACGACACAAUGUCAAAGAAGAAAUAAUUUCUUACAUUUCAAAGAAGAAGAGAGACUGUAGUUUCAACAUCUACUGUACACGUAUAUCACGGAUAUGUAUAAGUUUAAGUAAGUUGUCACAAAAGAGAUUAACUAUGGCGUCAUGUUUGAAAGAGUGUUGCAAGGUUGCAACAAUAAUUUUGACAUUGGUUGAUGUCGCAGUGGGAUGGUUUAAGUUUUAUCAAAUGUACAAAGAGAUCUCGGAUAGUUAUGGAUAUAACACAACGAUAUUUUCUGCGCCUGAAUUUUCUUCUUGUGAAAAUCCGAACAUUUACUGGUAUCUUUAUGUUGUCUUUGAAAGUAUUGGAACAAUCUUAGCUGCGGUAGAGAUUUAUUAUAUUGGGCUAGAGAUACGAGAGGACAAUAAACUGCACCAAGAAUGUUUCGGGAAGAUUUUCAUACUCAUUGUAAUGAUUUAUAUGACGUCAGCGAUUCCGUCGGCCAUAUUGGAAAUACUUUAUCGAGAUUGGUGCGUGUGCAACGGGACAUUUUCAUUGGCUGUUUGGAGGCGUGACGUCAGAGAUCUUGCCAAAGGUUUACUCGGCGGAGCAAGUGUUAUUAUGCUGCAAAUUUUAUUUCAUAUUACAGAAAUUUACACGAGACUUCGAAGAUUUGGAAAAUUGAUAGCAAUGAUGUGCUUGUGCUGUAGCUAUAUCCCAGAAGACGAGGGAGCAGAGGGAGCAGACCGGAAGUGUUGCGAAGGAACUAUGCCAUGUUUCGUAAUAAGCGUGCUUCUUGCUGUUGCAUACGUAGCAGUUUUUGUGACAGAGACGGUAUAUAUAUUUUGCGAGCCGCACCAUAUUUAGCACGGUGCAACAUGCCACCUUGAAUACAAAUAGUUUCAAAAAGCUUAAAGAGGAUUAGUACAAACAAACAAAGAAUGUAUACUAAUACAACAAGCAGUGUGUAGUGAUGUUCGUAUGCCAUUUAACAUUUUAUAGAUACACCACUUUGAACAGAUACAAUAAUUUUCAAACAAGUCCAUAAUCGUCCUGUUUUAAAUUAGCAUAGUUAACAUUUGUAUCAGUCAUAGUUACAUGGAGGUGAUAGAUUCUCGGGAGUUUCACUUCAAUCUGACAGACUGCCUCGACACACAGAGAGUUUAUUAACAUGUCUGAACUCAUAUAAGCAUUUUGUCUUUAAUGAUGUUGUCCUUUUAAUGAGUGUUGUAGAAAAAACUAGGACGGAUUACACCAAACUGGAAGUGACUACUCAGUGUUACAUGUGAAGUAGUCCAAAAUGUAGUUCCAUUCUAUGGAUAAAAGCUGGUAUAAUGAGUGAAAUGAGGAGGUGACAGUUACAUUAUUGGCUUAUUUUUUAUUGCUUAUUGUAUUGAGAAAAGAUCUA
rnacentral:lncRNA from 1 species